GCACAAUACACUACAAACAAUACGCACAAAUAUACGGGUAUAAACUUGGUGCUUUAUUCGGUUGUAAAACCUGUCAAGGAUAAUCUGGUAACGACGGAAAUCGAAAGCAAUACAUUAUAUUAAACUCUUUUCAACAUUUUAUCUCAAACAGAAGAAAAUCACUGAACUUAUUUAGACAACAUCAGGCAUACGCCAGGACAGGCCUUCGGUGGCUCCAUAGUCACACAAUAAAAUAUCAAAAUUUGGCUUUAAAAAUGGUUAAAUAAUGCCAUAACAAAGGUAAAAACAAUUACUUACCUCAUAUUUUCCGAUUUCAAGGAUAAUUUUUGAAUUUGAGGCCAUAUAUAUACUAGAAAAUACAUGCGUGCAGAAACCCUCGCCUUGCUGUUAAAACCAUUGCAUUUUCCGAACAUGAAGUAUCUAGAGUAGUUGUCAUGGUAACACGAUAAUUUUUUAAGAAUAUUCUUACAAAUCGCCUAAAUAUAUCACUUUUAAUUACAAAAUUAUCAAUUUCCCAACAUAUAUAUGUUAGAUAUGUUAUUGUACGUAAUAUAAGCUUCAAUUUAAUUAAGGUAAAAUUCAACCACAAAC